AGUGAACGCUGGCGGUAGGCCUAACACAUGCAAGUCGAACGGCAGCACAGUAAGAGCUUGCUCUUACGGGUGGCGAGUGGCGGACGGGUGAGGAAUACAUCGGAAUCUACUUUUUCGUGGGGGAUAACGUAGGGAAACUUACGCUAAUACCGCAUACGCCCUACGGGUGAAAGCAGGGGAUCUUCGGACCUUGCGCGAUUGAAUGAGCCGAUGUCGGAUUAGCUAGUUGGCGGGGUAAAGGCCCACCAAGGCGACGAUCCGUAGCUGGUCUGAGAGGAUGAUCAGCCACACUGGAACUGAGACACGGUCCAGACUCCUACGGGAGGCAGCAGUGGGGAAUAUUGGACAGUGGGCGCAAGCCUGAUCCAGCCAUACCGCGUGGGUGAAGAAGGCCCUCGGGUUGUAAAGCCCUUUUGUUGGGAAAGAAAAGCAGCAGGUUAAUACCCCGCUGUUCUGACGGUACCCAAAGAAUAAGCACCGGCUAACUUCGUG
rnacentral:rRNA from 1 species